UACGUAGGGGGCAAGCGUUGUCCGGAUUUAUUGGGCGUAAAGAGCGUGUAGGCGGCUGGGUAGGUCCGUUGUGAAAACUCGAGGCUCAACCUCGAGACGCCGAUGGAAACCCUCCAGCUAGAGUCCGGAAGAGGAGAGUGGAAUUCCUGGUGUAGCGGUGAAAUGCGCAGAUAUCAGGAGGAACACCGGUGGCGAAGGCGGGUCUCUGGGCCGAUAUUGACGCUGAGGAGCGAAAGCGUGGGGAGCGAACAGG
rnacentral:rRNA from 1 species